UACGAAGGGGGCUAGCGUUGCUCGGAAUCACUGGGCGUAAAGGGUGCGUAGGCGGGUCUUUAAGUCAGGGGUGAAAUCCUGGAGCUCAACUCCAGAACUGCCUUUGAUACUGGAGAGCUCGAGUCCGGAAGAGGUGAGUGGAACUGCGAGUGUAGAGGUGAAAUUCGUAGAUAUUCGCAAGAACACCAGUGGCGAAGGCGGCUCACUGGCCCGAUACUGACGCUGAGGCACGAAAGCGUGGGGAGCAAACAGG
rnacentral:rRNA from 1 species